UACGGAGGGGGCUAGCGUUGUCCGGAAUCAUUGGGCGUAAAGCGCGUGUAGGCGGCCCGGUAAGUCCGCUGUGAAAGUCGGGGGCUCAACCCUCGAAAGCCGGUGGAUACUGUCGGGCUCGAGUGCGGAAGAGGAGAGUGGAAUUCCUGGUGUAGCGGUGAAAUGCGCAGAUAUCAGGAAGAACACCCGUGGCGAAGGCGGCUCUCUGGGACGGUACUGACGCUGAGACGCGAAAGCGUGGGGAGCGAACAGG
rnacentral:rRNA from 1 species